AAGAUAGUGGCGAAGUCAGAACCAGGACCCCUGUCUGGUUGGAGACUCUUUCCAUAUAUGUUAUUAUGCUACCUCGCUUUUUGCAUGACUGUUGUGAGGAUUAAAUGAAGAUCCAUGUAACGCUCCUGACUUAGUGGCUGGCACACAGUACAUACUUGAACAUGCGAGAAGAGACAAGGAGAAGCCAGGAGAAGACAAGACUUCGUGGGGUGAGGUUGGUGUCAUGGAGAGAAGGCUUCCAACCAAUUCUGCCUUGUUCCAGAGAGGGCAAAGCCAAGACUAAGCAAAACUGGAAGUUGCUAGUUGGCCAAUUUUAGGAUAAUACAGGGCAUCCAACUUCCACAGAGGACAAUCCAAACUACAAGAGUUGCCUGGCAUUAUGGAAUGUGUUUGAAAGAAGGAGCUCCUCAUGCCUGUAUCCCUGCUUAGGUCUGCAGGAUCCUCUUCCAUCACUUCCUCUCCUGCAGCUCCCCACUCAUCAGCUCUUCUGCACCACUCACCAUUCCAGUUAAGGCUGGAUGGAUGCAAGUUUUGGGGUCUCUGCAGAGACUGUUUCCUUCACUUGGAAUUUCCAUCUCCUCAUCUCUACCUGUUGAAUUCCAUCUUCUUCCAGCUCCAGCUCAAUCACCAUUUUUUCUUUGUUGAAGUCUAAACUGUAACCUUGAAGAUGGACACUGAGUCUCACAUUCUGUUUUGUUUUUGCCACAAGCACAGUGUCUUGUGGGUACAGAGUGUUAAAUGAAGUCUCAUUGAAUGAAUGAGUGAAAGAAUGAAGGUAUGGAUGGUUGGAUAGAUAAUAUAUAGUCCUGCCUGCUUAAGACUUCUUGAAAUUUCUUCCAAGCCUAGGUUACAGAAGCACAAAACCAUCUCCUUCCCAAACCCCUCCAACAGCAUCCCAGGUGAAGACUAGGAAUGUCUCCUGGCUAAGAAUUUAAUGGAGUUGUUACCACAAUUUAAAACCUUUCUAUCUCAUUUUAGUAGCCAAGGAAAAGCUUAUUCUGAAUUUAUGGCUCAUCCAUGGGCUCUUUUCACAUUUUCUGCAAAGUCCUUUGUGAGGGCGGUGGAAAUCACAUUUACUUUAGAUUAAAAUAUAGUAGCAAUUUGGAGAGGGAGAAAAGAGAGAAAGAAGAUUGGCUAAAAAAAACUCUGCAUAAUUAAAAAAUUUUUUAGGUGGCAAUUUAGUCUUCUUCUCCAUCUCCUUCCCCUUCCAGUUAUAUCCCCAAACCUUCAGUGAUAUCUGCUGGAGACACAAAUACCUUCCGUAAGAUGUAGACUUUUUGCUUGUAAUUGAGGAAUAGAGCCAGAUUCCACAUUCAUAUUGACAAGGUGUGGAAGACAGAGAGAAAACAGAGAAAUGACUUUGUAUGUUUUGCUCAGUGCCACACAUGAAGAGCCCAGAACAGCGAUUG